GACCCAGGGCUGCAGCAGCUGAAGAGGCAGUAGAGAAAGCUGGAGAGCUGGCAGGUGAGAGGAACACUGUGACACUCCAAACCCCCUGCACACAGGACCAGGGCCCACGACUCAGCUGCUGUUUGCAUUAAGGCCUGAGGUGUGUAGUAGUUCAAGUAAGCACCGCCGAAAGCAAGUUAAAAAAACAUGGGUUUCGCCAAGUACACACAAGAGUAAGCUCUGCCCUUCACUUUGCUUCACUAGCUCUCUGGUAACAGAUUUUAAAGAGUAAGCAUGAACUGGCAAUAGUUAGUGCAGCUGAUAACCUGGAUUGCAAGGUAAGAUAGGAUAAGUCAUGUUUCAGAUUCAUUCUGUAAGUUUACAGCAAUUAUUAUUAAAGUUUGUACUGAGAUUAUCUAAUCAAUCUUUUAAUUUAUUCAUAGCUCUAGAAAAACUCCAACCAGCAUUCAGGCAGAACCUUCUGUCUGCUGAGGGCAGGUCAGUCAAUCACACUCACAAAAAUUUUCUGUACCCAACCUUUCCUCCCUGCCAAAGCUCCUUCCCGCAAUUUUCCUCAUGAAAAAGGAUGCUUGUGCAGAAUUAGGAUAUUUUGACUCUUUGAAACUUUAAUCAGAACAUUCUCCUUAAAUGUCUAAAUUUAAACAUAACUAUGCCCCAGGGACAACUGCAGCUUUAAAAAGAUCUAGUCUUCUAUUGGUACAAACAGCAGUGAGCUAUUAUGCUUCUUAUUUCUUAGAAAAGGUGGGAAUUCAGAGUGACAGGCUGUUCUCAAUAACCAACCCCUAACUUCUCUUGCAGGAAUCUUUUUAUCUGAUACAGAUCAAUUCAGUUAAAUAGACUUGCAUUUCAGCACUUUGCUGCCAAGUACACCAGGCAAUGCUAACAGGUGGCAGUGACAUGUCCUGAAUGGUAACCACAACUUAGUUCAUCAUUUCAGAACACAAUAGGUACAAAAGGUGGUGUGUGUGCAAUUUUUUCUCUAGUCCUCCUACGAGUGCAGUUACGUUACAGCUAACACUUAACAAAAUUAAUACUAGUGAAAGCCAUUAUCAUUGAUCAGUGCCAUUGGUUUAAUUUGGACUGACUUUACUAUUUAAGAUGGAGUACGCUCUAUUUACAUUUCAAGUACAAUGCAACUCAAAAGCCACAAAAAUUAGACCAAUUUUAUACCAGUUUCAAGAGAUCAGAUCUGUUCACACCAACUAUAUGUAAAUUUUUCAAGUGUCUCAUGACAGACACCUAUUCCACAGUCUAGUGUUAUUUUCUACUGCAUCUGUUCUAUUCAGAUUUUUGGUCAUGGUUCUUAAAGGAGUUUUACUUUAUCAGAAUUCCUAACUCAGUGGCUAGUUACAAACAAGCCAAGCAGCAAAGCCUUCAUGCACAAGUACGUAAAGUCAUAGCAAUUACACUUUAGACUGGGCAAGAAUACAAGGCUUAGUUUAGUUUUGCUAUUCAAACCAUCUACAGCUGCCAGCUUAACCUUCUCCAAAACUUUGGCAAAAAAAGAGUGGGUUGCAGGUUCUGGUUCUAUCCUCCUGAACUUCUGACUCAGAGUUGUUUUACUUGCACCUUCUACUGUUGCCCUUUUCUCUCACCUGUACAGUAAAUUUAGUUGGAAACUACUGGUUAGGACUGUUCUUUCCUGACUCGUGGUUCCUCUCCAUCCAGUUUUGCAGCACUUGGGAAUGAAAUGCAGUUUAUCUAGUAACCUAUAACUGAAGUACACAAGAACUAGUAUUAGAGGCAUGCACCACUGAACUCAUCAGCAUCAGCUGUAACAGCAGAGUUUAAACACAAAUGACAGACCAAAUUUACAGAAACACAAGCCUGUUAUUGAAACAAUGCUAUAUUUCACUACACUGCAUCUUGCUACACGCAAAAUUGCAAUUCUGAAACAGCAGAAUUUGGAAUUAAGUGAACCUCAAAACUGUACUUGUGUCCCUUUAUCUCAAUAAAGGGUAUUUAACUGCAGAACCUUAAUAAAAGGACAUCCACUUGAGAAGCAUCUUUACCCAAGAGUAGCCGUGAAGGGGCAAGCAAGCCCUGCAGAUCUAGCAUCAGCUCUAUUAUUCCACAAACAGGAAAUGCUUUCACAACUCGAAGAUUACUGUGUCAUGACUGGGAAGCACAACAUACCAUUAGGAACUUUUCUGGAUGCCCUACAUCCUGCUUGACACUGUUACACAGGAGUUGCAGCUACAUCAAAAAGCAGCCAGCUCCUGACCUCAAGAUUGUAAGUGUAGCUAGUGCUCUGCUUUAUCUCUAAAUUGGAGUCCACAGAAACACCCUGUUCUGCUGUUAACUGCUGGCUAUGGCACAUUUCUGAAACACAGAAACAGCAUUUAAGGAUCAUGGAAUUUUUUUUAGUAAUUUAAAAAGUCAAAUACCCUUUAUGAUUGUCAUCCCUUUUACAGAAGCAUCAUACCUUGAUUUACUGGGCUACACGUUGUACAGCAAGUUACUGAGGCACCUGGAGCAGCUCAGCUCACUGAUGGGAUCUAACUUAGGAGCAUACGAGAGGCCACUAUCUGUAACUGCAGGUCAGGAAGCCUGCCCCUCCCAGCAAAUGGCCCAAGGAGAGAACCAGACCCACUCUAGUCACACCACUUUAAGGUACAUAAAUGCAAACUAUCCUUCCCCUCAAAGGAAGCCCUUUUACAAUCUCUAGUAGUUUCCUCAUGCUCCACUUUCUCAUUUCCCACAAUACAUAAGACGGUAUUUAAGCUAAAGCACUACCACCACUGGCAAAUCCAACUUUCAGUCAAGGAGACACUACUGUUUUGCCAUUACAAAUACAUCACCUUGCAACAGUUGAAGUCUCAGUACAAGGAAAAAAAAUUUCACUAGGGACAAGGUUCUGGGAAGUCAGGUAUUUUGAAUAUUUAAUAGAUGACAUUUCAAGCCUGUACAAAGCAACAUCACGAGGGGUUUUCUUGCCAAUUUGAUUUGAGAAACAGGCAGCUAAUAAUCAGUGCUGCUCAAGAGACACGCGUAUGACCUGGGGAAAGCUCAAAGCAUUAGGAAGUUAAAAAGCACAUACUCACUGAUAAAGCAUACAUUGGGCCACAAGGCAAACUGUUACCAUUUCUUCAGCAGAAUUUAAUUUUCCUCCUGUCACAGCAAAUUUGUAGUGUCUAAUCUUGUCUGUGACCUUAUUUAGAAUUCAUUUGCAUGUUAAGACAGUUAUUAUUAAAAGAAUUUUAGGAUGGUCCCAGUCUAAGUCAACUCCCACUGCUGUUUCCUUCCGUAAGUAAACCAGUUAUCAGUUAAAGCUCUUCUACUGGGAGACAUUCAGAAACAAGUCAAGUAUCACAAUGUUUAUUGAUAGAUACAAGUAUAUAAAAUCAGGGCAUGAACAUGUCUUGAUAAAUUAAGUAGACUUAAUUUCAGUACUAUUAUAGAGGGACCAAUUCAAAUUUCUCACCAUGUCAUGUUUCACA